AGCUUGCCCGAGUGGGCAGAGGGAUCCUCCUCCUGGCAUCACUGGUAGAAGCUUCUCUGGAGACCUGCAUGGGGAUGUAUGAGGAUGAUAGGGAGUCCGUGCUGGCGGAAAUCCUGCACUGUGCCCGGAGGGACACCCGCUGCGCCAAAACGUUUGCCCCAAAGAGCUCCAUGUUACUCAUCCUCAGGGCCACUGGUAACACCCAAACCAUCACAAAAUUGAAGUGCCUCAAGUUUCCCAGGAGAAGGCACAUAAGUGCUUCAUGAUGUGGCAAGAAGUGCCACUGACACGGUGCUCUCUGCACAUCUGCAAGAGAUCCUGCCUGCACCUCUGCAAACCUUCAUGCCAAGAGGAACCAGGAUCAGGUCAGAGAUUGUUUGCUUCUCUCCCAGCACCCUGGAAAGGUCUAGAAGCCUCUCAAUGGCUGAGCAGUUCCAACACUGCCACAAAGGAGCCAGGAACUGUCUUGACAUUUCUACUCCACUGCAGUGACUAGAAUAGGCUUUCCCUAGGGCUCCAGGCUACAUAUUUGUAAGUGGCCAUUUUGUGGCUACACUUUUUUGAUGUUCUGAUUCUCCUAAAUGAAUGAAUUGCCCAUAAGCACCCUUGUGAAGAUUGUCCUGACCAAAUUAGAACCCAGAUUUAACUAAAUUGUAUAUAGCUGUGGGUGGGGCUUUCCAGAAAUAAAAAUUGACUACAUGGUUUAUAA